rnacentral:lncRNA from 1 species
UAAUGCCCGCGUCACACUGUCCCGAUUUUUAUAUACGAUGGACACCCGAAUGCGAAAAUUGAAAGUUCGUACGAAGUUGGUCCCGAUCUCGUUAAAAUACCAAAAAGUGACCGAAGCAAGUACGAUGAAUAACGAAGUCUAUACGAUGGUGCCGAAAUUAUAUACGAUAGCAAAAAAUGGACGGGUGUUUAAGCUUCAUAUUUCAGCCGAAGCCUACACGAUGGAUCACGAAGGCUACACGAUUGAUUACGAAGGCUACACGAUGGAUUACGAUGAUGGCGCGAUGGCCAUACGAUGUCUAAAAGACGUCGUGUACAGCUUACGAUGCAUUUAAAUUAUACCGUUUCUGUACAAAUCUGCCAUGCAUGGCGGUAAAUCGAUCUUUUUGUCUAAUUCUUAUAAAACUUAGUUUAUUAUCCCCUCGCCUACUACAUGUAAGUUGCGUGUAGAUAUAAUUGUUAUGGACACUACAGAACCAAAAUGCUCAAAACUAGGUAUGGUAUUACUUGUUAAGAAUAUCUUAAGCGCUAUUCACUUUUAAGUUCAAAGGUCAAGGUCACAGAAAAAGAGCUCUUUCCAGGAGAAUAUCAUAAUAAUAUAGACAAAAGGAAGGAUGUGGGGAAAGCAAUAAAUGCGGCAAAAUAUGACAUAUAGAAAACAAAAUGGUUAUGGAGUAAACAUUCGUGUGACAACAACUCAGACGAAACAUAAAAAAUCAGAAUAAUGAAGAAAAAGUUGGUUUCCCAAUAUACGUGUACCUGAAGUGUUGGUGUACGAGGCGCGUUUAUGAUUUUCAUUAUGUUACUUGAUAUGAAAAAUUGACAAAAAAUAAUAUUUUACUUGUAAAAGUAAAUCCUGAGCCUGUAAUAACUGCUCUUCUUGUUCCAUUUGAAUUAAUAGAAACAACGCUGUCGCCUUUCUUGUUCUCAUAGAAUCAUAUGAUAUGAGCUCCAUGUUUUGUGAACGUCUUUCUUAACUGUCGUAUUAGACUGAC